AAGGCUAAAUACUACUCAGUGACCGAUAGCGAUUAGUACUGUGAAGGAAAGGUGAAAAGGACCCCGGGAGGGGAGUGAAAGAGAACCUGAAACCCUGUGUUUACAAACUGUGGAACAGCGCAAGCUGAACCGCGUACUUUUUGUAGAACGGUCCGGCGAGUUAUAGUUACUGGCAAGGUUAAGGACUUAAGGUCCGGAGCCGAAGCGAGAGCGAGUCUGAAUAGGGCGCAAAGUCAGUAGAUAUAGACCCGAAACCGGGUGACCUAUCCAUGUCCAGGAUGAAGCUAAAGUAAAAUUUGGUGGAGGUCCGAACGCACAUCCGUUGAAAAGGGUGGCGAUGAGGUGUGGAUAGCGGAGAAAUUCCAAUCGAACCCGGAGAUAGCUGGUUCUCCUCGAAAUAGCUUUAGGGCUAGCCUCGCUGUAAGUCUUUCGCAGGUAGAGCACUGAAUUCUUGAGGGGGCGUCAAAGUCUACCAAGAGAUAUCAAACUCCGAAUGGCGGUAAGAUAUAAGCGGGAGUCAGACUGCGGGAUAUAAAUUCCGUAGUCAAAAGGGAAACAGCCCAGAUCUACAGCUAAGGUCCCAAAGUACAUGUUAAGUGGUAAAGGAUGUGGGAUUUCAUAGACAACUAGGAUGUUGGCUUAGAAGCAGCCACACAUUCAAAGAGUGCGUAAUAGCUCACUAGUCGAGAGGUCCUGCGCCGAAAAUUAACGGGGCUAAAACAUGACACCGAAGCUUAGGGAUGGUGUAAACCAUCGGUAGAGGAGCAUUGAAAACACGUAGAAGCGGUACCGGAAGGAGCCGUGGAGAGUUUUGAAGAGAGAAUGCCGGAAUGAGUAGCGAGAUGGAGGUGAGAAUCCUCCAGGCCGAAUAUCUAAGGUUUCCAGGGUAAAGCUGAUCUGCCCUGGGUAAGUCGGGGCCUAAGGCGAGGCUGAGAAGCGUAGUCGAUGGACAACUGGUGUAGAUUCCAGUACCUUACUAAAUCAGAAAUGUGGGGACACAUGGAGAAAGAGAGAGCCGGGAAUGAGAAGACCGGUGCAAGGGAGGUAGGAGUGUAGUAGGAAAAACCGCUGCACAAUCUGAAGACCUGAUGCGGAUCGAAAAGAAGUAGAGAAGCUCUUGGACUCUGUGGCGAGAAAAGCCGCUAUAGUGUUUAGUAAGCCCGUACCGCAAACCGACACAGGUAGAUGAGGAGAGAAUCCUAAGGCCGGCGGGAGAAGCAUUGUUAAGGAACUCGGCAAAAUGACCCCGUAACUUCGGGAGAAGGGGUGCCAUCCUCCGGGAUGGCCACAGAAAAUAGGCUCAAGCAACUGUUUAGCAAAAACACAGGUCUAUGCGAAACCGAAAGGUGAGGUAUAUGGGCUGACGCCUGCCCGGUGCUGGAAGGUUAAGAGGAGAGGUUAGCGCAAGCGAAGCUUUGAAUUGAAGCCCCAGUAAACGGCGGCCGUAACUAUAACGGUCCUAAGGUAGCGAAAUUCCUUGUCGGGUAAGUUCCGACCCGCACGAAAGGCGUAAUGAUUUGAGCGCUGUCUCAACAAUGCACCCGGUGAAAUUGAAGUACCAGUGAAGAUGCUGGUUACCCGCGCCAGGACGGAAAGACCCCAUGGAGCUUUACUCCA
rnacentral:rRNA from 1 species